GGUGCAGUAACUAGGAAGGUUGUCGUAAACAAUGAUUUGCUGGAGCUCAACUGAUUUCCCGGAAGUAGAAUCUACAAACUGUAACAUGACCUUAUUUGGGUGUUUAUCCAAAAGGUUCACUAUGACCUUGACCCUUGUUGCGCUAGGCCUCGUUCUAUCUUGCGUCGCCUUGUCAACAGCAAUCGGUUUUCCAACAGCAGACACAAUUGACAGCAGAGACCUUUUC
rnacentral:lncRNA from 1 species